AGGGGUGUUAACUUCAGAACUGUCCUAGGUUCAGUUCAGAUCCCCGCGAGGGAAGGGGAUUAAAGAGAGAAGGAAGUUGAGCCUCUGAGCCCAUUGCGCCCCGGAAUCUGGGAGGCGGCGUGACCAGGUGCCCGGGUUCCAUCCGCUGGGGCUGGGCAGCCCCCCUGCCCCCGCCCAGUACAGAGGCUCCUGCCGGGGGAGGCGUCCAUCGCGUUCGCUUACUUCUCUAGACCAACAAGCGAGGGACGCGGAGACUGAGUUGGCUGCGGCCACCGGGUCCCCGGACACCGUCUUCAUUCACUCCCACCCUCAGUCAAGCACCUGUACCCGCAGUCCUUUCCUAAAAGAAGAAAAACGGCCGGUCGCGCGCUGUCCAGAGUACUCAGUCCUGGAUCCAGGAGGUGGCUGGCGAGAAUAUAGAGCUAGAAAAUCGGGGACCGAGCCUGAAGCCUCAACUACCAGUCGCGUUGCUCCGCUUCAGGUCGGUCCAGGUCUGUGCCUCAGCUACAAGGGACAAGGAUGCUCCUGAGGCUGGCCUGGUCGGCACUUGCCUCAGCCUCGAGGGAGUCCCGCGCCCUUCUCCUUCCCAACCCCAGACCAGAGAAGCUGUACCCUCUGCAGCCCGGGUCGCUCAGCUCCACAUGGGCUCCGGGUAUGGUGGAGGCCGGUGGUUGGGUUCUGAGUGAUCGAGUAGUGUGCACGGUCUGGGCGGGCCCUGGAGAGCUACUCGUUCCUCGACCUCCCCUCCCCGCCCUAGAAACCCACAUCUCUGCAGGCCAAGGCGGAGUCACAGAUGAAGCUCGUUGAGAGCAGGUCAAAGCUGCCUGACCCGAUGGCCCCCUGCUGCGCUAGCCAGGAAGGUGCCCAGGAGCCACAUAUGGCUCUUAAACACUUGAAAUAUGGCUGGUCCCCUUGAGAUGUGCUGCUAGCCUAGCUGAUACAGCAAAUCCUCCAGGUGUUUGGUAUGGUGAUUCACCAGCCCAAGAAGAAGUAAAAAAACGGAAAGCCCAGGUCGAAGCCCCAGUGCUGGGGCUGAACGUGAGGGGUCACCCCAUACACACUCCCCUCUCGCUGCUGGAAAAACCUGCUGAGAGACGGGUGUCUCGCUAUAUUGCCCAGGCUGGUCCCCAACCCCUGGGCUCAAGCGAUCCUACCCCCUCGGCCUUCCAAAGUACUGGGAUCACAGGCGUGAGCCACCGAACCUGGCUAGGGAAUUCUUCUUCAGCCGAACAGCAGCGGCAAAGGCUAAGGGUCCUAGAAAGGAACGGGAAACCGUCACCUGCCCAGGUGGGACGCGAGGCAAGGAACCCAGCGCAGGAGGCCGCUGGGUCACGGAGGUUUCCUGUCUGCUUCCCGCCGUCACUGCCGGCCGCCUCCCACCUUCUCCCGGCCCCCUGCAACCCAGCCCACCCCAGCCCACCUCCCCCUGGUGGGGACACGGUUUUCUUUCCGGGGUGCCUCGCAGUUCCUGCAGUCCCUCCCUCUUCCCCACCCCCACCCCCAUCCUUUGGGCAGGAGUCACAACAAUUUCUUGCUCCAGUUUGGCAGCUGCGGCUCUGUGCCACACCCUCCAACGGGGCUGGAUGCCCAGGGUCUGCUGCCUCCAUGGGAUCUGGCUGGGCUCGAAGUCGGGGCUCAGCAAAGGUAUUUCGUGUGAACGAGGAAUCCACGGGUCAGACCCGCUUCCACAGCCCUGAGUCGGGGCGGGUGCCAGGGCCAGUCACCCUGACACUCAGGAGGUGCCGGCCUGUGGGGCGUCCGCGGGUGGGCCUCUGACGCAGAGAAAGACCCAGAUCCAGCUACCUCGGGGGCCUCCUGCUGCGCCUCGCCUUUGGGGCAGGCCUGAGGGCAACGCUUACUGCGGAGCAACUGUGUUCUACAGUGUAGUCCCGACACUGAAGACUCCUGGUCCUGGACUCUGCUGUAAUCUAGAAAUCCACUAAGCCAUCUGCCCCUGGCGAUGCAAGAUUUGGUGAAAGCAGAUGCCUGCUCAUCCCAGGAAACCAUCCUGGAGUGGGGUUUCACUACUCCUGACCUCAGGUGAUCUACCUGACUCAGCCUCCCAAAGUGCUGGGAUUAAAGACGUGAGCCACCGCGCCUGCCCUGAAUUUCCUCUUCUUGUAAGGACUCCAGUCAUAUUGGAUUAAGGCCCAUCCUAAUAACCUCAUUUUGUCUUAAUUACCUCUUUAAAUACCCAGUCUCCAAAUACAGCCACAUUCUGAGGGACUGAGAGUUAGAACUUCAACAUAUGGAUGGUGGACAGUCACAACUCAGCUCAUUAAAGUGAACAUUGUGUACAUGGUUUAGUAUGAACAUAUGUCUUAAAUUUCCUUGAGCAUAGGAGUGGAAUUCCACUUAGGAAUGGAAUUUUGGGGUCAUUUGGUAGUUCUGUGUUUAACAUUUUGAGGCUAUUAUUCACAGUGGCUGGAUUAUUUUAUAUUCCCACCAGCCUGACUGAGGGCUCGUGUCCUAGAAAAGUAGUAAUAGAUUUACAUAGAUAUUUUGCAUCAAAAAAUAUUUAUUCUGAGAUUAUACUUAAAAACCAGGAAACAGGCUGGGCGCGGUGGCUCACGCCUGUAAUCCCAGUACUUUGGGAAGUCAAGGUGGGUGGAUCACGAGGUCGGGAGUUCGAGACCAGCCUGGCAUGGUAAAACUUCGUCUGUACCAAAACCACAAAAAUCAGCUGGGCGUGAUGGUGCGCGCCUGUAGUCCCAGCUACUGGAGAGGCUGAGGCAGAAAAAUCGCUUGAACCCGGAAGGUGAAGGUUGCAGUGAGCCGAGAUCGCGCGCCACUGCACAGCAGCCUGGGCAACAGAGCGAGACUCCGUCUCAAAAAACAAAACAAAACACAACAAAAAACAAAUGGAAACAAUCUACUUGCCCCAAAAUAGGGCAUAGAUUAAAUGAAAUUAUCAUAAAUCCAAAAUGGAGGAUAAUGUCAUAAAAAAUAAUGUUAUAUAAUGAUGAUCCCAUGUGUGUAAAACUCUAGAAAAUGCAAAAUAAUACAGUGACAGAAAGCAGAGAGUGACGGACUGCCAAAACUUACCAAAUUGUACACUUUUUUUUUUUUUUAAAUGGAGUCUCACUCUGUUGCCCAAGCUGGAGUGCAGUGGCGCGAUCUCGGCUCACUGCAGCCUCUGCCUCCCAGGGUUAAGCGAUUCUCCUGCCUCAGCCUCCCGUGUAGCUGGGAACAGGCACGUGCCAUCACACCGAGCUACUUUUUGUAUUUUUAGUAGAGACGAGGUUUCACCAUGUUGGCCAGGCUGGUCUCCAACUUGUUAGAUAUGAGUUCCAAAUUUCUUUUCAAAGAUUCAAUAUGUCAGUAUGUUCAAUUCUUUACCUUCUACUUUUAAACUUAACUUCCUCAUAAAGCAACCUUUUUCAAUUACCUACUCCACCCUGACUCUUUCGAUUACCUGCUCUGUAAUAACCAUUUUUCCCGCCAAACCAUUCGCUCCGUCACUCUCUUUAAAUUAUCCAAUGGCAAUUAGUUUAGCCUGUGCGGUCUAACCCUAGCCAAUAGGGGAAUGACACAGCAGCAGGGGCCACGUGCGAAAGGGAUAAGAACCCCUUCCCCUCCCUUGUCCAAGUGUGCUCUCACCAUUGCUCCAUCUGUAAGGGCGCACCCUUCUAUAGAAGUACCUUGCCUUGCUGAGAAUUAAAAACAAAAUUUUAUAUUUUCGGGCUAUUUCUUUUGCGGCACCGAAACUUUGUAUAUAACAAACUCCUGACCUCAAGUGAUUCGCCCACCUCCGUCUCCUGAAGUGUUGGGAUUACAGGUGUGAACCACCGUGCCGGGCCUACAACCGGCAAUUCUUGAUCCUUCACACCGACUCUCGCUGUCCUCCAAGAUUUUUCCUCUUUACCUAUAGAGUCUCCAGGACUCGAUCCCCAAUCCCUUGCAAGCCCUGCAGGGAAACUGGAGGGCACUGGCUUCCCCACCUUUACUCCCCACAGUUGCUCCUCAGGACCACAGGAACGGAAGGGACCAAGCCCCUAACCUAGAAUGUUAGUGAUUUUAGAAGGAAAAAACUUUGGGCUUAUUCAGGACUAGAACCUGAGAUCUCUUACGCCUUAUGUGAAAAGCAUGCCUGAAUCAGGCUUGACGGCACAUUCCUAUAAUCCCAGAACUUGGGUAGUCUGAGAAGGGAGGAUUACUUGAGCCCAGGAGUUCAAGACCAGGCUGGGCAACCAAGAGGGACCCCAUCUCUACUAUUGCUACUGCUACUACAAAAAAUAAAUUGCCAAGAAUUGUGGCUCAGCCUGUAGUCUCAGCUACCUGAGAGGCUGAAGUGGAAGGACUACUCGAGCCCAGAAGGUCGAGGCUACAGUAAGCUGUGACUGCAUCACUGCACUCCAGCCUGGGUGACAAAGUGAGACUCUAUCUCAAAAUUUCAGAAAAAGCAAAAUAGAAAAGCAGGCCUA
rnacentral:lncRNA from 1 species